GACUUUUAUCUUGCUAUGUCGAUGUGACGUCAUAGGCGCGCGCCGCGCUCCGGCUCUGUUGUGAUUCGGCUGAAGAAAGGUGUUUUUAAUCACUUAAAGUGUUUAAAUCUAUGGAAACAGUUAUUUUUUGACAAGAGCUGUAAAGUGUUUUUUUGAACAGAAGCUCCUGUUGAAGAGACUGAGACACACAGUGUUAUAAAGAUGGAGUUUAUUAAAGAGGAGAGAGAAGACGUGAAGAUUGAAGAAACAUUCAGAGUCAAACAUGAAGAUACUGAGACACACACAG